UUAAGCAUAUCAAUAAGCGGAGGAAAAGAAACCAACAGGGAUUGCCCCAGUAACGGCGAGUGAAGCGGCAACAGCUCAAAUUUGAAAUCUGGCCCCCCGGCCCGAGUUGUAAUUUGGAGAGGAUGCUUUUGGCGCGGCGCCGUCCGAGUUCCUUGGAACAGGACGCCACAGAGGGUGAGAGCCCCGUACGGACGGACGCCUAACCUUUACAAAGCUCCUUCGACGAGUCGAGUAGUUUGGGAAUGCUGCUCAAAAUGGGAGGUAAAUUUCUUCUAAAGCUAAAUACCGGCCAGAGACCGAUAGCGCACAAGUAGAGUGAUCGAAAGAUGAAAAGCACUUUGAAAAGAGGGUUAAAAAGUACGUGAAAUUGUUGAAAGGGAAGCGCCUGUGACCAGACUUGCGCCCCGUGGACCAUCCGGCGUUCUCGCCGGUGCACUCUGCGGGGCGCAGGCCAGCAUCGGUUCUCCUAGGGGGAUAAAGGCCGCGGGAACGUAGCUCCUUCGGGAGUGUUAUAGCCCGUGGUGGCAUGCCCCUGGGGGGACCGAGGACCGCGCUUCGGCAAGGAUGCUGGCGUAAUGGUCACCAGCGACCCGUCUUGAAACACGGACCAAGGAGUCAAGCAUUGGGGCGAGUGUAUGGGUGCCAAACCCGCACGCGAAAUGAAAGUAAACGCAGGUGAGAGCUUCGGCGCAUCAUCGACCGAUCCUGAUGUCUUCGGAUGGAUUUGAGUAAGAGCCUUACCGCUUGGACCCGAAAGAUGGUGAACUAUGCCUGAAUAGGGUGAAGCCAGAGGAAACUCUGGUGGAGGCUCGCAGCGGUUCUGACGUGCAAAUCGAUCGUCAAAUUUGGGCAUGGGGGCGAAAGACUAAUCGAACCAUCUAGUAGCUGGUUACCGCCGAAG
rnacentral:rRNA from 1 species